rnacentral:tRNA from 2 species
UGUGGCGUAGCCAAGCGGUAAGGCAUCGCAUUGUUAAUGCGACCAUCCGAAGGUUCGAAUCCUUCCGCCACAG